rnacentral:rRNA from 1 species
UACGUAGGGCGCGAGCGUUGUCCGGAAUUAUUGGGCGUAAAGAGCUCGUAGGCGGUUUGUCGCGUCGGUUGUGAAAACCCAAGGCUCAACCCUGGGCCUGCAUUCGAUACGGGCAGACUAGAGUUCGGUAGGGGAGACUGGAAUUCCUGGUGUAGCGGUGAAAUGCGCAGAUAUCAGGAGGAACACCGGUGGCGAAGGCGGGUCUCUGGGCCGAUACUGACGCUGAGACGCGAAAGCGUGGGGAGCGAACAGG